rnacentral:rRNA from 1 species
GACGAACGCUGGCGGCGUGCUUAACACAUGCAAGUCGAACGGAAAGGCCCUGCUUUUGUGGGGUGCUCGAGUGGCGAACGGGUGUGUUACACGUGAGUAACCUGCCCUUGACUUUGGGAUAACUUCAGUAAACUGGGGCUAAUACCGGAUAGGAGCUCCUGCUUCAUGUUUGGGGUUGGAAAGUUUCGGCUGUUGGGGAUGGACUCGCGGCUUAUCAGCUUGUUGGUGAGGCAGUGGCUUACUAAGGCUGUGCCGGGUAGCCGGCCUGAGCGGGUGACCGGCCAAAAUGGGACGGAGAUACGGCCCAGACUCCUACGGGAGGCAGAGGUGGGGAAUAUGGCAGAAUGGGCGGAAGCCUGAUGCAGCAACGCCGCGUGCGGGAUGACGGCCUUCGGGUUGUAAACCGCUUUCGCCUGUGACGAAGCGUGAGUGACAGUAAUGGGUAAAGAAGCACCGGCUAACUACGUG